rnacentral:rRNA from 1 species
UACGUAGGGAGCAAGCGUUAUCCGGAUUUACUGGGUGUAAAGGGCGAGUAGGCGGGCUGGCAAGUUGGGAGUGAAAUCCCGGGGCUUAACCCCGGAACUGAUUUCAAAACUGCUGGUCUUGAGUGAUGGAGAGGCAGGCGGAAUUCCGUGUGUAGCGGUGAAAUGCAUAGAUAUCACGCAGAACUCCGAUUGCGAAGGCAGCAUACCGGCGCCCGACUGACGCUGAAGCACGAAAGCGUGGGUAUCGAACAGG